rnacentral:tRNA from 1 species
UGUGUUUGUAACUCAUCGGAUAGAGUUUUUGAUUACGAAUCAAAAAGUAAAAGGUUCAAUUCCUUUCAAAUACAA